rnacentral:lncRNA from 1 species
AAAACAUAAAAAACCGUGGGAACGAAAGCUUCUUCUUCUUCUUACCAGGCUUGCUCGGUGGGAACGGACUGGUUUCAGAGUUAUCUUCUGUUCCAUAUGAUUCACUUGGGCUGUAGACCUCAGGUGAUCGGGUCAACUUACUUAAGAUAAAUCUUCAGUGAAAGAAAAAUAAAAAUAAGUUUGUAGCCACUAGACAAAAUAAAUCUGUGAGUAAUGAUAUUUUCGUAAUUAUUAUUUUUGAUAACAAUGAAUUCAAGAAUAUAAUAGGUAUAAAAUUUAAGCUAGUAAUUAAACUAAAAUAAAAGUCAUUAUUAUAGUAAUAAACUAAUGAAUUAGGGUUAAACUAGCUUUUUCCCUAAUAAUUAUUAUUUUUUAUUUUCAAAAACAAAAUACAUAGAGCACUUGUAAAAGGUUCUGCUCUUUCCGAUCAAUCCAAAUAAUAAUCGAAGGCGAUAUUUCAAGUUUUCAACAUUAAUAAACGUGCCACAUCCGUUUAUAUUUUUAGACAAGUUUUCGGAAAAGGCAACUAAAUAUAAAUAAAAUAAAACUUGAUAAAAAAGGAGCCGAAUAUCCCCUGUGGAUCCUCUGCUGGAUAAUUAUAAAAUCAAUGUCUGUCACUUCUAGACAAGUCAUUUAAUUUUCCAGACCGGUAAAUCCAAAGCACGUUCUUGGUCUCGGAUUCAGAAAAGAAAAGAGAGAGAGAAGAUGAGUUCAAGAUCUGACCUCACAAUCAUGCGUGUCUGCUUCAUAAUCUUCUUGCUUGGAGUUCUUGUUGAGCUAUGUGAUGGAGGGAUUACCAGUGAAUAUGUCAGAGGAAGUGAUUUACCAGACGACAUGCCAUUAGACAGCGAUGUCUUUAAAGUUCCCCCCGGUCCUAACACUCCCCAACAGGUUCACAUAACGCAAGGUAACCAUGAAGGCAAUGGAGUGAUUAUUUCAUGGGUGACUCCUUCUGCGCCCUGUUCUAACACAGUUCGCUAUUGGUCUGAGAAUGGAAAAUCGAAGAAGCAAGCAGAAGCAACCAUGAACACCUACCGUUUCUUCAAUUAUACAUCUGGUUACAUCCACCACUGCCUCAUUGAUGAUUUGGAAGUAAGUCUUUCCAACAACUUAUUUGUUGUAUUUAGUUACAGGUUUUUAUUUUAGUGGCUCGGUGUUAAUACCAGCGAGAAGUAGUGAUAGAGAGAAUAAACAUUCAAAGAUUAAUUGAAUAAAUUUAGUUAUUGGUUAAUAUAAUUGCAUCUUCUUUUUAUUUUGAGUGAUAUAAUAUAAUUGCAUCUUAUGUUUAAUUUUCUCUAUUUAUUAAGUCUGAAAAAAAUCAUUUUAUUGCAGUUUGAUAUGAAAUACUACUAUGAAAUUGGGAGUGGUAAAUGGCGAAGGCGAUUCUGGUUCUUUACUCCGCCUAAACCUGGUCCUGACGUACCUUACACCUUUGGCUUAAUAGGUAUCAACUUCUGUCUUUAGUAGAUUCAUAUUUUCUGUUGUGACCGUAGAUAUUUAAUUUAUUUCUAAUACAAUAUCCAGGGGAUCUAGGACAAACAUAUGAUUCAAAUCGAACGUUAAGUCAUUAUGAGAUGAAUCCGGGAAAAGGACAGGCGGUUUUGUUCCUAGGAGACUUGUCUUAUGCGGAUCUUUACCCUUUGCAUGACAACAACAGAUGGGAUACUUGGGGAAGAUUCGUUGAGAGAAGUGUUGCUUAUCAACCUUGGAUAUGGACUGCAGGAAACCACGAAAUCGACUAUGUUCCUGAAAUUGUAAGACUUUGAAUGAAUACCCUUGUUGGUUUCUCGAAAUGGAACUUGACAUUUUUUUGCUUUUGCAGGGUGAAACAGAACCAUUCAAGCCUUUUACGAAUCGGUAUCAUACGCCGUAUAAGGCAUCGGGAAGUAUCUCUCCAUUGUGGUAUUCCAUCAAGAGGGCUUCAGCUUAUAUUAUUGUUAUGUCUUGUUACUCAUCUUACGGUAAUAAUGACUAGAGAGAAGAAAAAUAAACUAUAUUAUUGGUUGGCUUUUUUUUUUUAAUACUUUUUUAAUCUGAUGGAUUAAUUAGGGGUAUACACUCCUCAGUACAAAUGGCUACAACAAGAGUUCCAAAGAGUAAAUCGAACAGAGACUCCAUGGCUUAUAGUCUUAGUACAUUGCCCCUUUUACCAUAGCUAUGUGCAUCAUUACAUGGAAGGUGAGACAAUGAGGGUCUUGUACGAGCAGUGGUUCGUCAAGGCCAAGGUUGAUGUGGUGUUUGCAGGCCAUGUUCAUGCCUAUGAGAGAUCGGUAAACUUUUAAAAUUAUUAUUCUUCCCCAAUAGUAUUAAUCUACCCUUCUCCUCCUCUGCCCUCAAUUGAUCAUCAAUUACUAACUAACGCAGAAACGGGUUUCUAACAUUGCCUACAACCUUGUCAAUGGGUUGUGUGAGCCAAUAUCUGAUGAGUCGGCUCCUGUGUACAUAACAAUCGGGGACGGAGGAAACUCAGAAGGCUUGCUUACUGAGUAAGUUCUACCAUAUUAGCUUGUACAAAAGUCUUUUCUUAGAAUUUUGAUGAAUGACUUUUGGUUCUUCUUCUUGUAGCAUGAUGCAGCCACAGCCGAGCUACUCUGCCUUCCGAGAACCUAGCUUUGGGCACGGGUUGCUGGAUAUCAAAAACAGAACUCAUGCCUACUUCAACUGGAAUCGGAACCAAGAUGGGUCUUCCGUGGAAGCAGAUUCUGUGUGGUUGCUUAAUCGGUUUUGGCGAGCUCCAAAGAAGACGAUGGUUGUUGCCUCAUGAACACAAAGUGAUCUAUGCUAAACGAUGGAACACAGUGUGAGAGUUAUCAAGUUCUUUGGCUUCUUCUUUUCUCAAACUUGUCCUUCUAUAAACACAUUACUACGAAAGUAAGAAGAUUAUUAUAUCUGCAAUAUUAUAAACACAUUACUAAGAAGGUAAGAAGAUUAUAUCUGCAAUCUUGUAAGUGUUAUAAAAUAAAGAUAGUAAGUGAUAUGAAAAGUCAAGCGAUCUAAUAUUGAAAGUGCUGUAAAAAAAGAAGAAGAUAGUAAGUGUUAUGAAAUAUUCGAUAGCAUGAAGUUCAUUUAUUUGUGUGUUGCGGAACCACUAGUGAUCUAAUACUCGAGCAGCAAUAAGGAGUCGACUAACAAUGCAAAUAAAAUUCGCAAUUUACAAAACACAAAUUUCAAAAGGAGAGCGUGUGCAAAGCUCAAAAAAAAGUGGCGGAAACAUUAUUAACAAUGUGUUUUUGAAUAAUUGAACUGGUAACAAACUCAAUUAUGUGACUUCUUCUUUGACAAAAACAUAAAAAACCGUGGGAGCGAAAGCUUCUUCUUCUUUUUACCAGGCUUGCUAGGUGGGAACUGACUGGUUUCAGAGUUAUCUUCUGUUCCAUAUGAUUCACUUGGGCUGUAGACCUCAGGUGACUGCGCCAACUUACCCAGCUCAUUAGCUCCUGCAGAGCUUGCUCUUAUGAUUUUCUCAGUAUCACCACCAACUUUUCUCUUCUGUUCAUGCUCUGCUCUCCACUUCCUCAGCUCCUGCUC